GACGAACGCUGGCGGCGUGCUUAACACAUGCAAGUCGAACGGUAAGGCCCUUCGGGGUACACGAGUGGCGAACGGGUGAGUAACACGUGGGUGAUCUGCCCUGCACUUCGGGAUAAGCCUGGGAAACUGGGUCUAAUACCGGAUAGGACCACUGCCUGCAUGGGUGGUGGUGGAAAGCUUUUGCGGUGUGGGAUGGGCCCGCGGCCUAUCAGCUUGUUGGUGGGGUGAUGGCCUACCAAGGCGACGACGGGUAGCCGGCCUGAGAGGGUGACCGGCCACACUGGGACUGAGAUACGGACCAGACGCCUACGGGAGGCAGCAGUGGGGAAUAGUGCACAAUGGGCGCAAGCCUGAUGCAGCGACGCCGCGUGAGGGAUGACGGCCUUCGGGUUGUAAACCUCUUUCAGCACCGACGAAGCGCAAGUGACGGUAGGUGCAGAAGAAGGACCGGCCAACUACGUGCCAGCAGCCGCCGUAA
rnacentral:rRNA from 1 species